rnacentral:rRNA from 1 species
CCUACGGGAGGCAGCAGUGGGGAAUAUUGGGCAAUGGGCGCAAGCCUGACCCAGCAACGCCGCGUGAAGGAAGAAGGCUUUCGGGUUGUAAACUUCUUUUCUCAGGGACGAAGCAAGUGACGGUACCUGAGGAAUAAGCCACGGCUAACUACGUGCCAGCCGCCGCGGUACUACGUAGGUGGCAAGCGUUAUCCGGAUUUACUGGGUGUAAAGGGCGUGUAGGCGGGGACGCAAGUCAGAUGUGAAAACCACGGGCUCAACCUGUGGACUGCAUUUGAAACUGGGUUUCUUGAGUACUGGUGAGGGAGAUGGAAUUCCUAGUGUAGCGGUGAAAUGCGUAGAUAUUAGGAGGAACACCAGUGGCGAAGGCGGUCUGCUGGACAGCAACUGACGCUGAGGCGCGAAAGCGUGGGGAGCAAACAGGAUUAGAUACCCUAGUAGUC